CUGACGAGUCUGAGUCAGAAGAACCAACACUUCCUCCUGAAUAGUAGCCACAUAUAUGUAUAUUUGCUUUUUGCUGGGAUGAUAUUGUAGACUCAAAAAUAAUACAACCAAGACAAGCCGGCAUCAUGCAGGAUGAGUCUGAUGAGCUCUUCGUUGAGCUCUUCUCUGUGAUAUCUAGACAUAAGAAGCAAGAACUGAACAGGACACAGCAUCCAGUCUCUAAGUACUUCCGAAUAACAGGGAGAAAGAGGAUGAGUUACGUAGACAAAUCUCAAGGAUGGUCAAGGAGAAAUCUCAAGAAGAAAAGAGGGAAUGAAACUAUGAAGUAGGCAGGUGCUGCUUUUCUGACAAAACUGUCAACAUUUGGAGUCAUUCAGCUAUAUUUUGGUUCCUGACUCCUACUGUAAAUCUGGCUGUGAUGAGUCAGCAGUACUCAUACUACAACUUGAACAUUGGUUUGCUUUGAAAUUUCAUCCUCUAGAUCAGUCUACCACCUUUAAAUUCAGCCUCACAAAAAUCUUACAA